rnacentral:lncRNA from 1 species
GGGAGGAGUCAUUUGGUGAAUUUUGAGUGAAAUCCAAUGGCUAAAACAAUUCAAUAAACCAACCACUCCAUUUCAUAACGAACUUCUUACGAACCUGAAUUGUCCAAUCUCAUUGACCAAUCGAUAUCGAAUGUUGUUGGAGGAGUCAUUUGGGUUUUGAGUGAAAUACAAUUACCAAAACUAUGCAAUACACAAACCGCUCCAU